rnacentral:rRNA from 1 species
CCUACGGGGGGCUGCAGUGAGGAAUAUUGGUCAAUGGACGAGAGUCUGAACCAGCCAAGUAGCGUGAAGGAUGACUGCCCUAUGGGUUGUAAACUUCUUUUAUAUGGGAAUAAAAUGUUCCACGUGUGGGAUUUUGUAUGUACCAUAUGAAUAAGGAUCGGCUAACUCCGUGCCAGCAGCCGCGGUAAUACGGAGGAUCCGAGCGUUAUCCGGAUUUAUUGGGUUUAAAGGGAGCGUAGGUGGAUUGUUAAGUCAGUUGUGAAAGUUUGCGGCUCAACCGUAAAAUUGCAGUUGAAACUGGCAGUCUUGAGUACAGUAGAGGUGGGCGGAAUGCGUGGUGUAGCGGUGAAAUGCUGAGAUAUCACGAAGAACUCCGAUUGCGAAGGCAGUUCACUGGACUGCAACUGACACUGAGGCUCGAAAGUGUGGGUAUCAAACAGGAUUAGAUACCCCAGUAGUC